rnacentral:rRNA from 1 species
GAUGAACGCUGGCGGCGUGCCUAAUACAUGCAAGUCGAGCGAAAAGACGAGGAGCUUGCUCCUCUGACGUUAGCGGAGGACGGGUGAGUAACACGUGGAUCACCUACCUAUAAGACUGGGAUAACUUCGGGAAACCGGAGCUAAUACCGGAUAAUAUAUUGAAGCGCAUGGUUCAAUAGUGAAAGACGGUGUUGCUGUCACGUAUAGAUGGAUCCGCGCCGCAUUAGCUAGUUGGUAAGGUAACGGCUUACCAAGGCAACGAUGCGUAGCCGACCUGAGAGGGUGAUCGGCCACCUUGGAACUUAGCCACCGUCCAGACUCCUACGGUAGGCCGCAGUAGGGAAUCGUCCGCAAUAGGCGAAAGCCUGACGCAGCGACGCCGCGUGAGUGAUGAAGGUCUCCGGUGCGUAAUACUCGGUUAUUAGUGAAGAACAAAUUUGUAAGUAACCAUGCCCUUCUUGACGGUACUUAAUCAGAAAGCCACGGCUAACUACGUG